GGCUCAUUGGUUGAGUCGUAUGAUUCUCGCUUAGGAUGCGAGAGGUCCCGGGUUCGAUUCCCGGAUGAGCCC
rnacentral:tRNA from 1 species